GAGAAGGGCUGCAGUUUGACCUGCGCUUCCAGAAGGCAGGGAAUGAACGUUGACUCUUUCAGUCCUGGAGUCGGAUGCUGUCGCUUUCCCAGCUUCACAGAUGUUGAAACUGAAGAGCAGAGAGGUUAAGCUGGUGUUCUGAGUAAAUGGUGGGACUGGGUCUUGAAUCCUCCUCCCCCUCAGGCUAAAGUCUACUCUCGUUUACCACCAAUGGCUUUUGGGAGCUGGUGGCGCAGUGAUAAUGCCCUGAGGAGUGGGGAGCACAACGUUGUCACUGCUCACAUGUGCACGCUUAGGCGCUUAGAGCUCACAAACCCAUUUUCAUAACCACUUUCUUCACAGUGGGCUUAGCGGUCGAGACCCCGGGCUUUAUGGACAGCCGAAUCUGGAGACAAGUCCUGGGUCUGUUGUUGACGGUGGACACCCCGAAUUAGUCAUGUUCCCCAUCCUGAGACUUCGUUCCUCGUCUGCCAAGUGGGAAUAGUAGUGUCUGUUUCAUAGGAUCACAUCCUACGUUGCAGGGAUGUCUGAGGACAAAUGGGAAUUCUCACUGACUUCUAGGAAUAUCCUGGGGCAGGUGAAAGCUCCGUGAAGCGGGGGCGACGUCUUCGUCAUUCAGUGACACAGAGUGGGGGCGACACGAGUAUUUGCUGUGUGACUGAGUGUGCAAGCCUCCCAGCCCUGACCUUUGGACCUGCUGUGAAGAGCUUCUAAACUGUGGAAAAUUCUGGAGUUGCUCUCAAACUUUAAUGUACAUUGUAAGAAGAAUUUUUUUUUUUUAACAUGCACACUCUGGGGUCUCAACCCCAGAGAUUCUAUGCUUGUGAAACACAGGUGUAGCUGUGUAAGAUUUUGAUGGCUUGACCUUUCCUUGAAAGUUUCUGAAAAGAGUUGAGACAAUCUAGGUAUCACAGGAAGAGAAGUCUAGUAGCUAUGUGGACAAACUGCCUAUUUCACCAUUUAGCCAAAUAAUCAGGGAGACACUCAAAUGGAUGUGGAGCCCUAGGGGAGAAACCCUGUGAAAGGGACAUCCGCCAAGGUGAUAAGCCAGGCAGAGGGCUGAUUCUUCUAGCCAUCAGUUACCUGCAGCAGAGAGAAGAAAUCAUUCUUAGAAAUGAUUAGGGCCUUGGCCUGGGCAUCUUAAUGCGUUGGAGGUCGACCUUGCUCCAGAAGCCUAACAUUAGCUAUGUGUGUGUAUGAGAUGGUAAAUGUGACUAAGAACAUGUGCUUGGGAGUCAGACCAACACACAGCACCACAGCUCACUCACUGUGUGGCCUCGGGAAAAUUCUUAAUUUCUCUGUGCUUCAGAUUUCUCAUUUUUUAAAUGCAGGUUAUAACAACCUACUUUGUAGGGUCAUUGUGAUAAUCGAGAUAACAUUCAUCUGUGAGACAGUGGUCCCUGGCACAGGGUAGGUGUGUAACCAGUGAGGCCAGUUACUCUUACCUGAGUGAGCGCCAGACUUGAUUGUGUGUUACUCUGUAUCCUAGGGUCUACUACAGGUCCUGGCUCAGCAAAUGUUGAAUUAGUAAGGGACAAAGGGACAACUUGCAGACUCUGGGUAGUCACCUAUCAGAUAAUGUUCCAUAAUUAACAACUUCCAUGCAUAGUGAGAAUUAGAUCCAGUAAAGACUUGGGAAAAAUAAGUACAGAUCAUUCACCAGGAAUGCCCUCUUUAGGAGAGAAGGGAUAGUAAAACCAUGUUACCUUAAGAGGUUGAAAUCUGUCAGAUACAGCCUGUUGGUACUCAGGGGCUGGAACCUUGGUUCCACUAGCGAAUGCUGAAGCACCUGCAGCUCAGCCAGGGCCAGCACAGCAGGGUCUUACUAAGCUGCUGCUGCCACCACCUUGCUGCCUGCCUGUCCCUCAUGCUCUCAUUAGGAAGCCAGUGUUAAGACGGAGACCUAAUUGGGUCCUCCCCACCCACCAGUGACUGAAAUGUGGAGUGGCACACACUUUGCAGUCAGAGAAUCUGGGUUUCAAAUCCUUUCCUCUGCCACUUCCUAGCUAUGCAGCUUUGGUUAUUUCACCUCUCUGAGCCUCAGCUUCUAACUGUGAAAUGGGUAACAGUUCAGUCCCAGGGUUACAAGUGCACAAGGGACAGUGCUUGGUCCCCCCAGGUGCUCAUUUUUGUCUGCAUUUCCUUGCUUUGCUCAUUGGGUUCCUUCCCUCCGAGCUCCCCUUUCCCCAUUCUGCUGUGCUACAGUACAGACAGAAAUCCAACAUCCCUUAUGGCCCAGCCCAAGGAAUUAGACAUCGUGACCAACUUCCAUGCUCUGACACAAUAAGAGAGAAAGGAAGAAAGAUAACAGCAUAUGGGUGUGUUUU